UCAUUAUUCCAUUUACCAUAUUUUAGUGAAUCUUCCACAGAUGUAGCUAGAUUUUGGCCCCUUUUCUCCUUUUCUAAAUAAUGUAACAGUCAAUAAAUACUUGUGGGAAGGAUUCAAAUUAUGGUACAUGUAGAUUUUUUAUAGAUGGUGAACUCUAACCUUUUAGGUUCACAUUAAUAUUCAAUAGGUGGGACAAUGCAAUGUUGAGUGCAGUAUGGUACUGCUUGCAUGUAUAUUUUAGUUUUGGUAUUUUCUUUUCGAGACCUGUACAUCUCUUUUUCUCUCUUGUCUAUACAGUUUGAAUGCUGGAUGUAAGUGUAAGAUAAACACCGCUAAGCAGGCUGUGCCAAUGUAUGGGAUUAGGAAAUUAUUUUAUUCAAGAUUCUGAUAAAGAUAAUUUUUUUAGGAUAGUCUUUUUCUGGAAAUUAAAGCCUACAACUUGGAUAUGUUCAUACACAGUUUUACGGUACAAUCAUUACUUCAUUAUUUUGACCAUCUGUUUGAUGUCAGCUUUAUACAACCAAAUGGUUGUGAGCUCUUAUUCAUUUCCUUCUCCUCAAAAGUUGAUAAACAAGAUUUCUGCAUCACCAUUAUGUAUUUUAUGAUUGUGUGUUUGAUAAUUAUUUUCUAAUUUACAAAAAAAAGGUCUUCAUUUUUUUUCUAUUAAAAAAAUCAUCAGUCUUCCAUUGUGUAAGCAAAUCAACAGCUAGCAGCAUUAUCCUAAAAAAAAAAAUUAGACUGCCAGGCAGGUAAUAACCUUUAGAAUUGAGACAUUCCUCCUUUUUAUAUUGUUGAAUCUUAAAUUGUUACCUGUUAUGUCCAUAUCCCUCCCUAAGUGUGCAAGUGAUGUUCCCUUGACUUUUUGUUACACAAGUGUAUUAAAGAUUUUUUAGUG
rnacentral:sRNA from 1 species